CUAGAUGGGGAUGGUAGGACCAGAGGGGCCUGCUGCCCUGUGGGGCUCUCUGGGCCUGGUGCCAUGCUUCUCUGUUCUCUCCCCAG
rnacentral:miRNA from 1 species